rnacentral:rRNA from 1 species
AUUGAACGCUGGCAGCAGGCCUCACACAUGCAAGUCGAGCGAGCGGCGGACGGGUGAGUAAUGUCUGGGAAAAUGCCUGAUGGAGGGGGAUAACUACUGGAAACGGUAGCUAAUACCGCAUACCAUCAGAUGUGCCCAGAUGGGAUUAGCUAGUAGGUGGGGUAAUGGCACACCUAGGCGACGAUCCCUAGCUGGUCUGAGAGGAUGACCAGCCAAACUGAAACUGGUACACGGUCCGUACUCCUACGGUAGGCAGCCGUGGGAAAUAUUGCACAAUGGGCGCAAGCCUGAUGCAGCCAUGCCGCGUGUGUGAAGAAGACCUUCGGGUUGUAAAGCACUUUCAGCGGGGAGGCGUUGCCCGCAGAAGAAGCACCGGCUAACUCCGUGCCAGCAGCCGCGGUAAUUC